GGCACUGGUGGAGGACGGGGUGCUGGCCGCGGUGGCCGGCUCGCCGGUCGCCCUGCCUGCAGGGCGGUUCGAAUCCGUCCUGGCGCUG
rnacentral:tRNA from 1 species